AACCAGCACCUCAAGUGGUCAGGAUGAUUAUUGGGCCUAAAGCAUCCGUAGCCGGCUCUAUUAGUUUUCGGUUAAAUCUGUACGCUCAACGUACAGGCUGCCGGGAAUACUGUAGAGCUAGGGAGUGGGAGAGGUAGACGGUACUCGGUAGGAAGGGGUAAAAUCCUUUGAUCUAUUGAUGACCACCUGUGGCGAAGGCGGUCUACCAGAACACGUCCGACGGUGAGGGAUGAAAGCUGGGGGAGCAAACCGGAUUAGAUACCCGGGUAGUCC
rnacentral:rRNA from 1 species